AGAGUUUGAUCCUGGCUCAGGAUGAACGCUGACAGAAUGCUUAACACAUGCAAGUCUACUUGAACUUCGGUUUGGGUGGCGGACGGGUGAGUAACGCGUAAAGAACUUGCCUCACAGUUAGGGACAACAUUUGGAAACGAAUGCUAAUACCUGAUAUUAUGAUUUUAGGGCAUCCUAAGAUUAUGAAAGCUAUAUGCGCUGUGAGAGAGCUUUGCGUCCCAUUAGCUAGUUGGAGAGGUAACGGCUCACCAAGGCGAUGAUGGGUAGCCGGCCUGAGAGGGUGAACGGCCACAAGGGGACUGAGACACGGCCCUUACUCCUACGGGAGGCAGCAGUGGGGAAUAUUGGACAAUGGACCAAAAGUCUGAUCCAGCAAUUCUGUGUGCACGAUGACGUUUUUCGGAAUGUAAAGUGCUUUCAGUUGGGAAGAAAAAAAUGACGGUACCAACAGAAGAAGUGACGGCUAAAUACGUGCCAGCAGCCGCGGUAAUACGUAUGUCACAAGCGUUAUCCGGAUUUAUUGGGCGUAAAGCGCGUCUAGGUGGUUAUGUAAGUCUGAUGUGAAAAUGCAGGGCUCAACUCUGUAUUGCGUUGGAAACUGUAUGACUAGAGUACUGGAGAGGUAAGCGGAACUACAAGUGUAGAGGUGAAAUUCGUAGAUAUUUGUAGGAAUGCCGAUGGGGAAGCCAGCUUACUGGACAGAUACUGACGCUAAAGCGCGAAAGCGUGGGUAGCAAACAGGAUUAGAUACCCUGGUAGUCCACGCCGUAAACGAUGAUUACUAGGUGUUGGUGGGUACGACCCAUCGGUGCCGCAGCAAACGCAAUAAGUAAUCCACCUGGGGAGUACGUUCGCAAGAAUGAAACUCAAAGGAAUUGACGGGGACCC
rnacentral:rRNA from 1 species